CGUACUACCAACCUUCCCAUGACCACGGGAUAACCGUUGAAAGACGGCCUAAUACCGUAUGACGUCGUUUGCCGACAUCGAAAGACGACCAAAGGUUUGGCGGUGAUGGAUGGGGAUGCGUCUGAUUAGCUUGUUGGCGGGGUAACGGCCCACCAANGGCUACGAUCAGUAGGGGGUUCUGAGAGGAAGGUCCCCCCACAUUGGAACUGAGACACGGUCCAAACUCCUACGGGAGGCAGCAGGC
rnacentral:rRNA from 1 species